rnacentral:rRNA from 1 species
AUUGAACGCUGGCGGCAUGCUUUACACAUGCAAGUCGAACGGUAACAGGGAGCUUGCUCCGCUGACGAGUGGCGAACGGGUGAGUAAUAUAUCGGAACGUACCCAAGAGUGGGGGAUAACGUAGCGAAAGUUACGCUAAUACCGCAUACGAUCUAAGGAUGAAAGCAGGGGAUCUUCGGACCUUGUGCUCCUGGAGCGGCCGAUAUCUGAUUAGCUAGUUGGUGAGGUAAAGGCUCACCAAGGCGACGAUCAGUAGCUGGUCUGAGAGGACGACAAGCCACACUGGAACUGAGACACGGUCCAGACUCCUACGGGAGGCAGCAGUGGGGAAUUUUGGAAAAUGGGCGCAAGCCUGAUCCAGCAAUGCCGCGUGAGUGAAGAAGGCCUUCGGGUUGUAAAGCUCUUUUGUCAGGGAAGAAACGGGAGUGGCUAAUAUCCAUUCCUAAUGACGGUACCUGAAGAAUAAGCACCGGCUAACUACGUGCCAGCAGCCGCCGUAA